UGCCAGCCGCCGCGGUAAUACGGAGGGUGCAAGCGUUGUUCGGAAUUAUUGGGCGUAAAGCGCGUGUAGGCGGUUCGUUAAGUCUGAUGUGAAAGCCCGGGGCUCAACCCCGGAAGAGCAUUUGAAACAGCCACACUUGAGUACUGGAGAGGAAAGGGGAAUUCCUGGUGUAGGGGUGAAAUCCGUAGAUAUUCGGAGGAACACCAGUGGCGAAGGCGGCUUUCUGGACCGAUACUGACGCUGAGACGCGAAAGCGUGGGGAGCAAACAGGAUUAGAUA
rnacentral:rRNA from 1 species